rnacentral:tRNA from 1 species
AGUGGUGUAGCACAGCGGUUAGUGCAACAGUCUUAUAAACUGCAAUUCGGUGGUUCAAAUCCACUCACCACUA